rnacentral:rRNA from 1 species
AUUGAACGCUGGCGGCAGGCCUAACACAUGCAAGUCGAACGAGUUGCGGACGGGUGAGUAAUGUCUGUGAAACGGCCCGAUGGAUGGGGAUCACUACUGGAAACGGUCUCUAAUACCGCAUACCCUCGUUUAUGCCCAGAUGGGAUUAGCGAGUAGGCGGGGUAACGGCUCACAUAGGCGACGAUCCCUAGCUGGUAUGAGAGGAUGACCAGCCACACGGGAACUGAGACACGGUCCAGACUCCUACGGGAGGCAGCAGUGGGGAAUAUUGCACAAUGGGCGCAAGCCUGAUGCAGCCAUGCCGCGUGUAUGAAGAAGGCCUUCGGGUUGUAAAGUACUUUCAGCGAGGAGGCGUUACUCGCAGAAGAAGCACCGGCUAACUCCGUGCCAGCAGCCGCGGUAAUAC